UAUCCGCACGAGCGCACCCCUAUCCUUAGUUGCUAGCAGGUAAUGCUGAGAACUCUAAGGAGGCUGCCGGUGAUAAACCGGAGGAAGGUAGGGACGACGUCAAGUCAUCAUGGCCCUUACGUGUAGGGCUACACACGUGCUACAAUGGCGCAUACAGAGUGCUGCGAACCUGCGAAGGUAAGCGAAUCACUUAAAGUGCGUCGUAGUCCGGAUUGGAGUCUGCAACUCGACUCCAUGAAGUCGGAAUCGCUAGUAAUCGCGUAUCAGAAUGACGCGGUGAAUACGUUCCCGGGCCUUGUACACACCGCCCGUCACACCAUGGGAGUGGGUUGCUCCAGAAGUAGAUAGUCUAACCCUCGGGAGGACGUUUACCACGGAGUGAUUCAUGACUGGGGUGAAGUCGUAACAAGGUAGCCCUAGGGGAACCUGGGGCUGGAUCACCUCCUU
rnacentral:rRNA from 1 species